UCCCAUCUUGCCGCCACUCUGCACCGGGAAGGCCCUUCCCGAAGGAAGUCUGAGGCUUUUGAGGACGAUUUGCCAGGGCAGGCCCUUUAAUGGAGCGAGAUGUGUGGCCCCAGCCUCAGCUCCUCACGCUUCCAAGAGCAACACUGAGAGGUGUGGACCAGUGGGAGUGAGUGGCAGGCCCUCCCGCAGCUGUUGGGCACCUGAGCCCCCCACAAGCCCAUUCCUGAUCCUUCUCUCAUCUCAAAAUCGGGCCUGAUGGCACCUGUAUCACAUCUUGGAAGCACCAGAGACAAGAAUCACAGAGAAAGCUUAUGGCCGCACCCUGCUGCUCUGCCAAGCACCGGGCCCGAGCCAUGGCCGCAUG
rnacentral:lncRNA from 9 species